AUGUAUACACGAAACUUUUCGUUUUUGUUGCUUUUAGAACACACGUACAUAUUUUAAAUUUUAAAAUUUCAAAAGAGGGUGCAAUUUUUUAUAAUAAUUGGAGUGUACAUAAACCGAUUAAUAUUGAAACUAGUGUGAUGAAAUUAAUAUGAUAGACUUUACGGAAAAGCAGUUAAUUCGGUAAAAUUAAAAAAAAAAGUUUUUACUAGUUUAUUUUCAAUGAAACUUUUCAACAUUUCUUAAAAGUAAAAAAUGCUAGCUGAAUAACCACUCAAAAAAAUUAUGGAAAAAAUGCACACAAAAUGAAUUCAAUGAUAAGAGCGCUGUCAAACCCAUGAAUCACGGACAAGUGACAACAUACUCGGAGUUGUUGUCCUAGGCCCAAACAACUUGUGCGACUUGUGCUGAUUAUAUAAUGACAAUAAAACAUGCCCAAAAACAACAGCAGAGUUGCCAAAAAAAAAAACAAUAAGAAAUAAAAGAGUCAGCGAGACGAAAAACAUUUAAAUAUUUUUGCAAGCAAAAACCGAACAAGAUCAUUUGUAUGCGCCACCACAAACGCCAUCGCCAUCGCCAUCGGCAUCGCCAUCGCCAGGUCUGAGCCUGAGCCGCGUGACCACUUUGAAGAAAAGCCGUCAAAAACCGUCGAAAAACCUGGGCGGGGUGUUGACCAUAAAUAUGCGCAGACAUAAAACGCGUUAUAAUAUAUUAAUUAGCCAAUGCCAAUAAGGCAAAGCCAGAAAGAAAACAACAAAUAAACAUAACAUAACAUAAGACAUAACACAACCAGAAGACAAUUUCAAGUUAAAGCUGUCAGCGAAUCGCAUAGAUUAGCUAAUUGAUGGCCACUAUGCUUGGCCAUUUGGGUGGGUUUUGCUUGCCUCGGCUGUCUUCUGUGCAAAAUUAUGCCUAAAUAUAUUUUAAUUGAAAGCACAGUGGUCACAAUGGGCGAGUGAAGUGGUCGAAUGGUCGAAUGUGAGCCCACCAAAAGUGUGUCUGGCCCAACAUGCUGUGCCACCUGAAAAGUUCCUGGAAUUGCAGCACUAAAACAAAACCAAAACGCUGCCUGGAACAAUAAGCCAAACAACAGCAACAACAACGAAGCAGCAGGCAUAAAGUUCAAACCUUAACAAGAUGAACAAAAGGCUCUGACUCUGACUCUGACUGUGGCUCUGGCUCUCUCUCUUAUUCGCUGUCUGUGGCAUCUACUUCGCCAGAC